rnacentral:misc_RNA from 1 species
UCCAGAGCAUUCAAGAAUGCAAAGGAAUUCUUGGAUGGGAUUCUGAAAGUAAUUUCAAGGCUGUUGGAGGUUACAUUAAUAGAAAAUUCUUUGAAACAAAGAAUUUACAUUGAAAAUGCUCAGAAGGACAUAGUUUUGGGCGAAAACAUCAAAAUUUGCGCCUGUUAUAUUGCAACCAUCAUGAACUAAUGGAUAGAAAUAAAGGCGAAUCCAGUGUCUGCC